CUAAGGCUAAGAAUGAGCGUGGCUGAGGCGAAGGGUGGAUGUCGCGGGUGUGAAUGUUGUUGUAACCCCAUUAUACCCAUUCUCUCUCUCUCUCUCUCUCUCUCUCUCUCUCUCUCUCUCUCUCUCUCUCUCUCUCUCUCUCUCUCUCUCUCUCUCUCUCUCUCUCUCUCUCUCUCUCUCUCUCUCUCUCUCUCUCUCUCUCUCUCUCUCUCUCUCUCUCUCUCUCUCUCUCUCUCUCCUAGUACGUAAUUAUUAAGUUUUCUUAGUAGAUACACAAACCAAGGUGCAAGGAAGGGGUGGAAGAGGUAGUGAAGAGGGGAAAACAACACUUGAGCAUCGUAAUUGAUAACCGACCCAAAGAAAACUGAGGGAUAGAUAAGUUGAAAAAUCGUUAGAGAAGGUAUUAUGUGGGCAUGAUGUCAACUAGAAAUGGCAGACCUAACAAAGAAAGGGUUCCAUUGCCAUAAAGGAGAGCAGGACCUAGGAGGGAGAGAAGCUGCAACAGGAAUGGCGAGGCAAACGUGAGGUCGAGGUUAUGUAAGGGAAAUAAAUGAAGCGAGGAACCAGAAAGAAAGGAGUUAGAAGAGAAGGGAGUAAAGCUAAGGUAAGGUAAGGUAAUGGGGGUAGAUUGGUAGAAAGGUAGGUAGUACGUGGAUGUAUGGAGACAGGAGGUAGUAGAGAGGGGAGUAAAGUAAUAGAUAGAUGUAUAUAGAGAUGAGAGGUUAUGUGGAGAAAGGAAGAUCAUUGCGCGGGAAACAGAAGCAAGAGAUAAAAGGUAAGAUAGGCAGUUAGUUAUGUAAAGGAAAUAAUGAAGUGAAGGAAGCAAAGAGAAGAGAAUGGAGAAAAAGCAAGGUAGUUAGGUACAUAGUAAUGAGUUUGUGGAGAAAGGAAGAUCAUUGCGCGGGAAACAGAAGCAAGAGAUAAAAGGUAAGAUAGGCAGUUAGUUAUGUAAAGGAAAUAAUGAAGUGAAGGAAGCAAAGAGAAGGGAGAAAAAGCAAGUUAGUUUGGUACAUAGAAAUGAGUUUGUUGAGAAAGGAAGAUCAUUGCGCGGGAAACAGAAGCAAGAGAUAAAAGGUAAGAUUGGCAGUUAGUUAUGUAAAGGAAAUAAUGAAGUGAAGGAAGCAAAGAGAAGGUAAGGGAGAGAAAAAGCAAGGUAGUUAGGUACAUAGUAAUGAGUUUGUGGAGAAAGGAAAAUCAAUUACGUGGGAAACAGAGGCCAGAACAAAAAAAAAAAAGUAAAGAACGAAGUAAGGAUCUAGGAAGCAAAGAGUUAAAAGAAAAGGGAGUAAGAAGUAAGGUAAAGAAGAUAGAUAAAUAUACAGAGAGGAGAGGUUAUGUGGAGAAAGAAAGAUACUUGAGAAACAGAGACCUGGGAAAAAAGGUAAGGUAAGCAGGUGGUUUUGUAAGGUAAAGAAUGGAGUGAGGAACAAUGGAGCAAGGGUUUAGAGGGGAAGGAAGUAAUGGUAUGGUAAUGUAGGUAGCUAGGUAGGUAGGUAGAUUAUAGAAAUGAGACGUUAAUGUAAAGAAGGGGAGAUCAUUAAGUGAGAAACAGAGGGGCUAGAGAGUAAAGGUUAGGCAGGCAGGCAGGUGUGUAUAGGUGAGAACCGGGGAUGCUGGGUGGUAGGGAGAGGAAGAGGUUCACCCUGACUGCCUAUUGAUUCCGGGGAGGCUGGGGAUAACACACACACACACACACACACACACACACACACACACACACACACACACACACACACACACGAAGAUAGAGAGGAAGAGGAAGUAGUUUAUUACGUAAGGAGGAAAGGGGAAAGUGGAAGGUGUGAAAGCAUUUUGUGGUUUUAGGUUGAGAGGCAAAGGAAAACAAACCGUAGAUAUUCUCUCUCUCUCUCUCUCUCUCUCUCUCUCUCUCUCUCUCUCUCUCUCUCUCUCUCUCUCUCUCUCUCUCUCUCUCUCUAUCUAUCUAUCUAUCUAUCUAUCUAUCUAUAUCCUCCCUAUCGUGUGUGUGAGUGAGUGUGUGUGUGUGUGUGUGUGUGUGUGUGUGUGUGUGUGUGUGUGUGUGUGUGUGUGUGUGUGUGUGAAUGCCGAGGUGUACAUACUUUACCCUUCCCUUACAGCAUGUCUUAACUUUUCUGUUCUUUUAACCAUUGAGUUCUUGAAUGGGUCGAGGACUUGCCUGGCCCUGCCGCGGGGUAGAGGUGCUGGACUACUUAUGAGCUUCAUGUACAUAAAUGGCGCCAGUAACUUGUUGAGGGCAUCAGUGGUUGUGGUCGUAGCAGUAGUGGUAGUAUAUAUGGUGUGGUUGUCACCCUCUGGAGGCGACGAACUAACCACAGACUCAACCACGCACUCGGAAAUUAGUAGUUGCAUUUGUGUGGAAAAGAGGGUUUUGAGAGACAGGUUCAGAUAAAAAUAAUACAGUAAUGAUUAUAAAAAGGUUAUUAGUGAGUGUUAGAUGAAUGCUACCACUACUGUUACUGCUUCUGGCCUUGAAAUGCAUUAGUUAACAUUCAGUUAUCACUUCAUUAAAAAAAAAUUAAGCUUCACUAUGGUUCUGUGUUUCUAAAUUAGUCUCUAGUUCAAUACUUAUCCCGGCCGUAUGUGUGGCCUUGCUGUACAUUAAUUAACAAGUUGUAUGUCGACGUGAAUGUGGAGUCACGGUUCACAUUGUACAGAUAACAUAAACGUGCAUCCCCCGACUCCUCCCCCGCCCCGUGCAUGUGUUCCCUGAAGGCUCAGUUCUUGGUGCAUGGACUGUCCUUACCGACCUUUGCUAGUAACCUCUGACCUGCCCUUGACCAACCUUGAUACACACUUUUACCUGUCCUUUACCUUACACAAACCUAUAACUGCGUUACUUUUACCAUUCUUAAUCCGCCACACACCAGUAACUUGAAUUUCCUUACUACAUCACCGUGCAUAGGUCUACAUAGCCACCCUUCCCUUCCCUACCUGUCCCCCUGUCGACACACACACACACACGCACACGCACACGGCGAUUUUUUUUGCAUCAUAUAGUUUCCUCCCCUCCCCCCUUCCCUUCCCUUCCCUUCCCUUCCCUUCCUACACUCGUGCCCCGGAACAUGAUGGAUUACCUGCACCUCAGCACGUAACUACACACCUUCGUGCACACUUCCUCCCUCCGCCUGUUACGGUACCCCCCCCCCCCUCCCCUCCCCUUUCCCUAGCUCACACCUCAACACCUAUUUUUGGAUCCUCUCCCUGUUCCUUUGUCCUUAUGUCGCUGCUGCAGCUUCCCGAGGGUUCACUUCCCCCCCCCCCCCUUCCCCCUCCCCCUUUAUUUUCGUCCCCUUUCACUCUUAGGCCCCCCUCCCGCAGACCCUCAGUGGCCCCUCUCCUUAGAUCGAGGCUUGCUCCCUUCCCCCUUUAUCUCGUCUGCUUCCCGAGUCGUGUUGGUUUUAUUAAAGAUCACAUUCACGU